AAGUCUCUAUCAGAAUUCUAAAUUUCUCGAAAUAGUCGCUUACGUGCUGUCCGAUUAGCAGUUCAUCUUUAUUAGCCAUGUCUCAUUUCACGACUUCGUUUGCAGCAGUUUACGCUGCAACGCUCAUCAUCCUUGCUGCCGGUGAGAUCGGGUUCUACUGCGCAUACGUUCUCAUCUGUGCUCCUCGUUCACCAUGCUUACCUGCAUGCGAUACCCUCUGUAGUUGAUGGCAUUCAUUAAUGUGGAAUAGUUUAUGUAUGCUCUUGAAAUUUUUGACAAACAAUUCAUGGAGCUCUGUCAGCGAGUACGCAACGUCAUAAGCCGGUGCAACAUACUCGCUUGCUCGAUCAUGAACGGAGAAAACAUCCAACAUCAUUUGCAGCGCUGGGCGCUGCUGUCCUUCUUAUUGGGUUGCUACUAUUGCUCAUGAUAAUACCUGGUGAGUAAUAAAAUGACUGGGGUGUUCGAAUUGUAUCAUACGUAGCUUUCGUAGCGUACAAACGCAUUGUUCCAAUAACUGAUCGAGAACCGCGAACUAAUUAACAGCAGUCUCUGGUAGUAAGAACCAUUGUAUAUGUUCUCUUACAUACCGUGCCCUUCGCAAUAUGACUCUGUAUGAGUGGUAAUAUUGGUCGCUUGUCCGUGCAUCACAGCUGCCUAAUAACCGAAAUAAACGCCUCUUACUUAUGGCAUCGUCUCAACAGGUACAUCUGCCACCAAUGAAAACGAGNNN
rnacentral:lncRNA from 1 species